AAGACCCUCAUUCCUGUGGCCAGUUCCCUGUUCAUGGACUUGGGCUCUGCGAUGUCUUGCAGUCCUAACACGACUUGAGGACAAACCGAGGGCAUAACCCUGGCAAACAGUGGACUUCGAAUCUCUACCUCGCUGUCCUUGAAGUUGGCCCGCCAGCAAACUGCCUGAGUUUUUGAAGCACUUCAAACUUCCAACCGUCAGUGCAUGCCCCCAAAGCCCUUCUGCACGCCGGUCGUCGGCUGGAGUUCAUUCUUAAUUUACGUUUUUAAAGAGAGAGACAGAGCAUGAACAGGGGAGGGGCA